rnacentral:rRNA from 1 species
UACGAAGGGGGCUAGCGUUGUUCGGAAUUACUGGGCGUAAAGCGCGCGCAGGCGGUUUUCCAAGUCAGUGGUGAAAGCCCGGAGCUCAACUCCGGAACUGCCAUUGAAACUGUUAAACUUGAGGACGAGAGAGGUGAGUGGAAUUCCCAGUGUAGAGGUGAAAUUCGUAGAUAUUGGGAAGAAUACCAAUGGCGAAGGCAGCCCCCUGGGUUAACACUGACGCUCAUGCACGAAAGCGUGGGGAGCAAACAGG